rnacentral:rRNA from 1 species
GUUUAAGGCCAUACCACGUUGAAAAUACCAGUUCUUGUACAAUCACCGAAGUCAAGCAGCAUCGGGCCCGGUUAGUACUUGGGAUGGAGACGACCUGGGAAUACUGGGUGCUGCUGUCACUUU